rnacentral:tRNA from 1 species
GGUAGUGCAGCCCAGUGUAGUGGUUUGAGUGUUGGACUAUGACUCUGAAGACUAGGGUUCAAAUCCCUAUUCAGCCC